UGAAGACUCGUGCAAAAUGGAAGUCCUUGGGCUGUAGUGAUCAGACUUUAUGGCUGCCUCUCCGUGUUAGAAGCAUAGCAUUCACGGCGAGUGAUAGCUGAAGUUCUUGUCUUGUUGGGGUGGCCUGUUGAAGGAUGGAUGCACCUGAGCUAAUUGAAUUAUUCUUCAAUCAUGAAGAUUUCCAAUAUGGUUUCGAUUAUUAUUUAAUGAUGUAGAUCAAGACUGUUACCUGUGUGGCUAAGGAGAGUAUAGAUCAGGAGCGCCUGAAUGGAUGUGAUACCAAAAUUCCCUCUCUUCAGAAGAACGGAAGUUUCAUCUAAGUUCUGGGAAAAAUGCCAGUUUGGAUGGAAUAGGCCAGCCCAGACCACAUACCUUUAAGGCAGCCUAGCACACCCUUCUACGAGAGAUGUGCAACAAGAAAACCUCACUGGGCCCUUGCUGUGCGGAGCAAUGAUGUGGCGGGCUGGAGGGGCAAAGCAGGAAAGGGUUCGAACCAGCUGGAG